UACGUAGGUGACAAGCGUUGUCCGGAUUUACUGGGCGUAAAGAGCGCGCAGGCGGUCGUUCAAGUCGAGUGUGAAAGCCCCCGGCUCAACUGGGGAGGGUCACUCGAUACUGAUCGACUCGAAGGCAGGAGAGGGAAGUGGAAUUCCCGGUGUAGUGGUGAAAUGCGUAGAUAUCGGGAGGAACACCAGUGGCGAAGGCGGCUCUCUGGGACGGUACUGACGCUGAGACGCGAAAGCGUGGGGAGCGAACAGG
rnacentral:rRNA from 1 species